UGGGAAUAUGAAACAAGAGCAGGACAGCACUCCUCUUGAUAAGGAUGGAAGAAAUCUUAAUGGACUUAAUCAUGUUAAGACUGUCACUUACUUUGACAUAUCUAAUGUAUAUC
rnacentral:ncRNA from 1 species